UAUUCAAAGCAUCUGUGAAGCUGGCAAAAACAAAAACAAAAACAAAACAAAAAAAACCUUGAAAGACUUAAGUAUUUUACUCAAGUCAGAGGCCUUGGGAGCUUUCUCACAGUGCCAGUGUCAGGAAACAGUAUACCGUUUCCUAGAGAACUCGUACAACAAAAAGAAAUGACUCUGAUUUUAUUUGUAUGAGCACGUUGCCUCUCUACAAAUUCCACAUCCUACGCAAAAGUCUGCUGAUUUGGCCUGCCCUAUUCCCAAGUUGUCUAGUAAUUAGAAUUCUUCUCCACAGGAGACAAUGCCAUGCAUCUUGAGCAGAGAAGAGGAGAUUGGAAGAAUUCCAGAACCUUUUCACUGUUGGCUCAACUGGUCCUACCGGAGAUUGUUAAAAUGAGUUUAGUGACUUCAUUCUGGUUUUCCUGAUUGAUUCUAUUAUUAGGACUGUGGAAGCCUCGGGCCCUUUGGCCUUGCUGAACAUCUUGAACAAUUUUUUAAGCAGUUUGGGUUUGGCAAAACCUAUUUUGCCAAGAACAUUACCCUUUAAUUUCUAAAAACCAUGUGCAUUUUAAGGAAAAUGUAACCCAUAUGUUCCUAAUUCCUCUGUACUAAACACAUCAAAAUGUUUUGUAAGAAACACUUGAUUUCCAAGAAGACUUAUGAGCCUUCCUUAAAAGACCUUUUAAGUUAUUUUCUUUUAAAACAGGAAGUCACUUCUGCCAAGAAUAAAGUUAUUUAGACACCAACUGUUUCAAGAAACUCAUGAACUAACUGGACAUAUUUUACGUUACUCUGGAAUAUAUUUGCUGAAUAAAAUGGUAGCCAAAAACAAAAAUGGAGCAGUGAGAGAA